GAUGAACGCUGGCGGCGUGCCUAAUACAUGCAAGUCGAGCGAACAGACGAGGAGCUUGCUCCUCUGACGUUAGCGGCGGACGGGUGAGUAACACGUGGAUAACCUACCUAUAAGACUGGGAUAACUUCGGGAAACCGGAGCUAAUACCGGAUAAUAUAUUGAACCGCAUGGUUCAAUAGUGAAAGACGGUUUUGCUGUCACUUAUAGAUGGAUCCGCGCCGCAUUAGCUAGUUGGUAAGGUAACGGCUUACCAAGGCGACGAUGCGUAGCCGACCUGAGAGGGUGAUCGGCCACACUGGAACUGAGACACGGUCCAGACUCCUACGGGAGGCAGCAGUAGGGAAUCUUCCGCAAUGGGCGAAAGCUUGACGGAGCAACGCCGCGUGAGUGAUGAAGGUCUUCGGAUCGUAAAACUCUGUUAUUAGGGAAGAACAAAUGCGUAAGUAACUAUGCACGUCUUGACGGUACCUAAUCAGAAAGCCACGGCUAACUACGUG
rnacentral:rRNA from 1 species